GAGACAGCAGUCGCCGCGGUAAAACGGAGGGAGCUAGCGUUGUUCGGAAUUACUGGGCGUAAAGCGCACGUAGGCGGCUUGGUAAGUUAGAGGUGAAAGCCUAGAGCUCAACUCCAGAAUUGCCUUUAAGACUGCCGAGCUAGCAGGUGAGAGAGGUAAGUGGAAUUCCGAGUGUAGAGGUGAAAUUCGUAGAUAUUCGGAAGAACACCAGUGGCGAAGGCGACUUACUGGCUCAUACUGGACGCUGAGGUGCGAAAGCGUGGGGAGCAAACAGGAUUAGAUACCCCCGUAGUCCCUGUCUCUUAUAC
rnacentral:rRNA from 1 species